UACACAAACAACACACUGUUAGAUUUUAGUGGUUUUCUGUAUGUCAUUCUUUUGGUUCUUUGUUUAAUACUGCAGAAACUGCGAGGACAGGAUGUUUAUUGUAAGCAGACAGAAUGUUGUCACCUUACAAUAGCAAAUGGUGUACCUAACUAAUUGUUCCCCCACAAGACGUCUUAAUUCAAUAAGGCUAUAUCACUGUCUGUUUCCCCCCUCCAAUUUGACCCCAGACGUGAAUGUAUAUUCUGGUAUUAUAAUUAGCCAGGAGUUUCCCAGAUCUUUGCUUCAGUUUCUUACCUUGGCUUCACCUUGCAACAUUGUGCUGUGCUGUGCGUACAACAGGGUUACCAGAACUCUGUUGUUACAUCCAGAAUAAAGAACUAUUCUUUCGCAAGCCAGC